GCGUGAGCGAUGAAGGCCUUCGGGUUGUAAAGCUCUUUCGUGGGGGAAGAUAAUGACUGUACCCCAAGAAGAAGCCCCGGCUAACUCCGUGCCAGCAGCCGCGGUAAUACGGAGGGGGCUAGCGUUGUUCGGAAUUACUGGGCGUAAAGCGCACGUAGGCGGACCAGAAAGUCAGGGGUGAAAUCCCGGGGCUCAACCCCGGAACUGCCUUUGAAACUUCUGGUCUUGAGGUCGAGAGAGGUGAGUGGAAUUCCGAGUGUAGAGGUGAAAUUCGU
rnacentral:rRNA from 1 species